UACGAAGGGGGCUAGCGUUGCUCGGAAUCACUGGGCGUAAAGGGUGCGUAGGCGGAUCUUUAAGUCAGGGGUGAAAUCCUGGAGCUCAACUCCAGAACUGCCUUUGAUACUGGGGAUCUUGAGUUCGGGAGAGGUGAGUGGAACUGCGAGUGUAGAGGUGAAAUUCGUAGAUAUUCGCAAGAACACCAGUGGCGAAGGCGGCUCACUGGCCCGAUACUGACGCUGAGGCGCGAAAGCGUGGGGAGCAAACAGG
rnacentral:rRNA from 1 species